AUGGACAGUUUCAUCAGCUGUCCGGGUGGCUGGUUUCAGACGAUCCUGCUGCUGAAGAACCCGGAUAUGGAGUUCCUGGGCUGUUACACAAUGUGUUUUAGUCCGGUUGGACGUACUGCCAAAUUCUCUGAAAGGAUUUUGGAUGCGGCUUAUGGUAGAGAAUUGAACAUUCAAUUCUUUGGCAACAGUUCUGGUGGCCAUUUCUGCAGCUCACUUUCUGGGAUCUUUUUAUUUCAGCUCAUGAAACAUCUCCAUAUUGCACUUGGACAGUGGAGGGAAGCAGAAAUGGUUCUGGAAUGGACGGGCAUGGUUCUGGAAUGGACGGGCAUGGUUCUGGAAUGGGACGGGCAUGGUUCUGGAACCAGUGGAGUGAAGCAACGGGCAUGGUUCUGGAAUGGACGGGCAUGGUUCUGGAACCAGUGGAGUGAAGCGACGGGCAUGGUUCUGGAAUGGGACGGGCAUGGUUCUGGAAUGGGACGGGCAUGGUUCUGGAACCAGUGGAGUGAAGCGACGGGCAUGGUUCUGGAAUGGACGGGCAUGGUUCUGGAACCAGUGGAGUGAAGCAACGGGCAUGGUUCUGGAAUGGACGGGCAUGGUUCUGGAACCAGUGGAGUGAAGCGACGGGCAUGGUUCUGGAAUGGAACGGGCAUGGUUCUGGAAUGGGACGGGCAUGGUUCUGGAAUGGGACGGGCAUGGUUCUGGAAUGGACGGGCAUGGUUCUGGAACCAGUGGAGUGAAGCGACGGGCAUGGUUUUGGAAUGGACGGGCAUGGUUCUGGAAUGGGACGGGCAUGGUUCUGGAAUGGGACGGGCAUGGUUCUGGAAUGGACGGGCAUGGUUCUGGAACCAGUGGAGUGAAGCGAUGGGUAUGGCUCUGGGCAGACAUCUGUAGUCCAUGAACGGCCACAGGGGGCGCUAGUUAGAGAUAGAAUGACAAAAAAAACAGUCCCAGUGAAAACGCUUUUUCUGUAUGUCAUGAUGGUAAUGACUACAUUGAUUAAUUUCUAUUGCAGCCAAAACAUGCGAUGACACAAUUUCUAAAACGGGGAGCUGCUGGCCUCAAUCAUCUUCAUUCAAGAUAUCCCUAGCCUCAAAAUAGGCUCAGACAAACCCAUGCCCUAGAUCAGAAUAAUGCCCAUGUGUUUCUUAAUUGAGUGAAGCACUAGUGCAAGUAGGGCUAUUUGCUUUGGCAUAUGUUACAUGACAAUAUCAUUAAUCAAUUUAAUGAUGGUCACACACAUGACUGCAAAUUAAUGAGAUAUUGUGUUGUCAGUUGUUGUAUUUUGUGUGUCCUGUGUUUUUGUUAUGGUAUUGUGUGUUUGUUUGCUCUAUCAUUGUUGUUGUUCUGUGAGUCAGUCUGUCUUUGAAACCCCCAUGGCUCUUUCAUAUUACAUACAAAAAGACAACAGAUAAAAUGCUCCUGAGCAUCACACCUCAAUAUCCCCCAAUCGUCCUGUACACACACACACACGCACACACACAGAGGAGAGCUAUAAAUAACUGUCUGUCAUAGUGCUGGAAAUGUGUAUGGAGCGUGAGAUACGUGAAGUGAUUGACUCCAUUGAUAAACCGUGUUAAAGGGGUUGGGUCGAGCACCGCUGGCGUCAUUCUGAGUGGAUGUGAAGAUGGCUCCUCAAUGCGCCGCGGCAGGACCGCCACACAGAUGCGUCAACCGCCUGCUAUCUGGAGGCCCGAGCACUUUGCUGUGAGAGGGAAGGAGGGGGGAGAAGUAAAUACAAGCUUUAAGAAAGGGUGGAGAGCACCAGACAUCCGAGAUUGUGGACAAUCACGUUGACACUGUUUGCAGUCGUAACUUUGUCACAGAGACCGACACAAGACCACCGAGAGCCAUGGGUUCGUGCACAGAUGAAGAAUUCAAAGAUAAAUUACUAUGGAAUGUGAAAAGAGAGGUAAGUGCAUUUUGUUUCACGCCUCUUUUGAGCUCUUGGUCUAUAAUGAGUGAGGGUUGUAUGGGGAAAUUUCAGCAGAUCCGGUUCAUGUAUUUCUCGGUAAAUGUCCGUGAUAUAUGAUGAUGAUGAAGAAUGAUAAUGUUGUGGAUACGUCGCGAGAGAGGAAUUGAUACACCAUUUCUGUUAUUACUGUGUAGCCUACUCUAGCCACCGGCUGGAAUAAUGCAACGCGUGUUAGAAGUACAUCUACAUUACGUUUUUCAGGUUUUUUUGUCGUCGCUCACUUCGGUUUCCCUUAAAUGUCGACGCGUCAGUAGUUUUAGUUUCCCAAGGGAGUAUGAUGUGGAAGAGCCAUUGGAAUGAAAAGCUUCCUAUGGACGCCUUUUGUAGAAAAAACCGAUUGCUACAGGUGGAGCACACCGCCUAGGCUGUGGCAGUGCCAUAUAGGCAAUAGCUCUGUGAUCUAUCUACUGGCGUGGCAAAUUGUGCAGUGAAGACUCAUUUCAAUGUCGAUAUUAUUAAGUCAUAUUGGAGAUCCUCCGGCACUACAUGUUGUGCAGUUUACAUUAAUUAGCGUAUUAAUAGCCAUAUGUUUCUCAAAUGUAAAUUAAUAGGAGGGAGCCCGUUGUUGUUACAAUCUAAUCCAGCAGUUUAAAAAGGCUACCCGUUUUUUUCUGAUUUGUUCAUAACGAUAGAGGACAAUACUAUCAGAAAAUUGUAACUCCGCGAUCACAGAAUGUUAACGCUUCACAUUAAGUUUCCUUAUAACUGUGUAGCGACACUGUAGUUUCACAA
ensembl:lncRNA